rnacentral:lncRNA from 1 species
CCGGGAACCCCGAACAUCCCCUUUCUCUACUCUUUCCCUUUGGAGUCUAUAGAGGGAGAAGCAGAGCCUAAGGCUUCAUCAGUUUGAAUACUGGCUGGGGCUGGGCAAGUUAGUGGCUCAAAGUGUUGAAUCUGUCCCUAAAGCAGGGACAGAAAUGGAGGCUCAGGAGGUAGAGGUGGCAGUGGGCGUGCAGGAGAAGCUGUAGGUCAGGAGGUAGAGGUGGCAGUGGGCGUGCAGGAGAACUGUAGGUCAGAGUGGAGAGGUGGCAGUGGGCGUGCAGGAGAAGCUGUAGGUCAGGAGGUAGAGGUGGCAGUGGGCGUGCAGGAGAAGGUGUAGGUCAGGGGGUAGAGGUGGCAGUGGGCGUGCAGGAGAAGCUGUAGGUCGGGAGGUAGAGGUGGCAGUGGGCGUGCAGGAGAAGCUGUAGGUCAGGGGGCAGAGGUGGCAGUGGGCGUGCAGGAGAAGCUGUAGGUCGGAGAGGGUGCAGAGUGGAGAACAGAUGAGCUGGAGUCACACCAUGCCCUAUACCCAGCCAGAGGCCGAAGUGAGCCUGUCACGGUAAUGCCACUGCCUGCUUGAUUCCCUCCCAUGCCUAGCCUGGGUUCUUCAUGAUCCCUGAGGCCCUCUUUGAUGUCAUCCCGCUGCCUCAAAACCUGUGUGUGCUGGUGGCUCCCUCUGCUUUCCUUCCAGAUGACUCCUUCGCUUCAGCUCAAAUGUCACCUUUGGCUGUUAAAAUCCUUUCCGGAGGAAGUUGUAAACAAUGCCUACCCCUCCUCCCGAGGUCUCUGAUUCCACUCCAGGGAAGAUUGCUCUGGGGGAGCCAAUGAGUUUGUUGGGAUUACUUCCAGAGCAUAGGUGAGGGGUUAGUUACUUGAAUAUGAGUGCUGCCCACCAAAAGACCGCACUGAAAAGUCUUUACCCAGCAGGGGUGAUGGU